ACACAUAUGCCAAGGUGACAU
rnacentral:miRNA from 12 species